rnacentral:tRNA from 1 species
GGGUAAAUAGCGAAGUGGUAUCGCGUUUCAUUUGCAUUGAGGAGGCCCGGAGUUCGAUUCUCCGUUUAUCCA